rnacentral:rRNA from 1 species
UUAAAUUGAAGAGUUUGAUCAUGGCUCAGAUUGAACGCUGGCGGCAGGCCUAACACAUGCAAGUCGAACGGUAACAGGAAGCAGCUUGCUGCUUUGCUGACGAGUGGCGGACGGGUGAGUAAUGUCUGGGAAACUGCCUGAUGGAGGGGGAUAACUACUGGAAACGGUGGCUAAUACCGCAUAACGUCGCAAGACCAAAGAGGGGGACCUUCGGGCCUCUURCCAUCAGAUGUG